GGAAAAUUAGGCGGAAGUUUAAUUUUGUUAACGUUUUUAACUGUUAACAAAGUAAAGGUUUUCAAUAAUAUUUUUUUUAAAUUCCACUUGCAGUACUCUUCGUUUUUGUAUAAAUGAUACGUCUAUAAAAAAAUUAGAAAUUGUUAAGUAUUUUUAUUGAAAACGUGCAUAACAUAAUUUUAAUAACUUUUAAUAUUGGCGUUUAUGAUUUUUUAUUUCAGGUACUGGUCCUGUAAAUGAAACGUCGCAGUUAUGCUCUGUGUAAAAAAUAAAUAUUGACAUAGGAUCAACAUCGAUUGAAGAAGAAUACUAAUCUCUAAGUGAUAAGGCAAAUACAACAGAGUUACAUCAAGUGCACUUCAUUUAAUCUACAAUUUAAGUUAAAAUGCUCUUCAGACAAUGAUCUAUUUGGUCCUCCCAAAUGAAAGACAAGUGGGAGAGUCCACAUGUUACCCAGGGGAAGUUUACACCCAAACACGUGUCGGAAAGAUGCAAUACUGUUGAACGAAGGGCAAAUAAAAUAUGUAAAAUUGGUGAAAUGAAAAUUGGCGGCAAGCUGCGAGCAGAUGGACUCACUUGUCGACUAUAAGCCUUGCAAAGAAUCCUCUCGUUUUUCGAUGGGGCGAAUAGGAGCGCAAAAGCCGAACGGUUCCGACCUCGUCCGAUUCG